rnacentral:rRNA from 1 species
AGAAAGCGUAAUAGCUCACUAGUCGAGUCGGCCUGCGCGGAAGAUGUAACGGGGCUAAAACUAGUCACCGAAGCUGCGGCAUCAGUAGAAAUACUGUUGGGUAGGGGAGCGUUCUGUAAGCGGAUGAAGCUGAAUUGAGAAGUUUGGUGGACGUAUCAGAAGUGCGAAUGCUGACAUAAGUAACGACAAAACGAGUGAAAAACUCGUUCGCCGGAAGACCAAGGGUUCCUGUCCAACGUUAAUCGGGGCAGGGUGAGUCGGCCCCUAAGGCGAGGCUGAAAAGCGUAGUCGAUGGGAAACGGGUUAAUAUUCCCGUACUUGGUAUAACUGCGAUGUGGGGACGGAGAAGGUUAGGUUAUCAGACUGUUGGAUGUCUGUUUAAGCCGGUAGGUGGGAAUUUUAGGCAAAUCCGGAAUUCCGUUAACACCGAGAAGUGAUGACGAGUCUCUACGGAGAYGAAGUAACCGAUACCACGCUUCCAGGAAAAGCCACUAAGCUUCAGGUUAUACUAAACCGUACUAUAAACCGACACAGGUGGUCAGGUAGAGAAUACUCAGGCGCUUGAGAGAACUCGGGUGAAGGAACUAGGCAAAAUAGCACCGUAACUUCGGGAGAAGGUGCGCCGGCGUAGAUUGUAGAGAUUUACUCUCGAAGGUUGAACCGGUCGAAGAUACCAGCUGGCUGCAACUGUUUAUUAAAAACACAGCACUCUGCAAACACGAAAGUGGACGUAUAGGGUGUGAUGCCUGCCCGGUGCUGGAAGGUUAAUUGAUGGUGUUAUCGAAAGAGAAGCUCCUGAUCGAAGCCCCAGUAAACGGCG